GGGAUGGAAGAGGUGUACUAAAAUCUUUUACUAGUUCUUCAGGUGAUUACAUUAAAGAUUUAAUUCAGCCAGCUACUUACUUGCUUCACUUUUGUACUUCAGAUGAUGUCCUAUUAAAGCGAAAGGGAGUAUUUACUUAGUACAGGUAUUAGCGUCUUGCUGAAUUAGCAUUCAACACUUUUGGUGUAGUGGUAUUGUAAUCAUCCUGGAACUUUAUUUACGCUUUUUUUUUCUUGGCCUAAUGCCCCGCAAUGUACCAAUGAGAGGAGUCAACAGCCCUAACUGUCCUUCACCUCUCUCCCUGCUGGAGGGACUGGCUUCUCUCAUCUGCUGACAGAGCCAUUGCAGUAAUUCAUUUAAAAUGGUAUUGGCCAGCUUAAACAGUUGUUUUUUCCUAACUUGUCUUUUUCAGUCUUAAAUGAAUUAGUGUGCUUGCUUGCCUCCUUCUUCAGCUCAGCUGUUCAUGGACUGUAUGUGCAUUGGCAUCUUGAAGCAUACUGUAUCACUUCCUCUUCUGGUCAUAAUAAGGAUUGCUUCCUGUUCUCUGCUUCCAGUGGAGUUUCUGUUCCUUUCUCGGCUGAACUGGUGGAUGAGAAACAGGACUUGGGAGACUUCCUUUUGCCUGCACUAUUACCUCUGUGGAAACAGCGUGACCACUAUGCUAUCACAUAUCAAACCAACCAACAUUUUCCCGAGGAAGGACUACAAUUUGAAGAGCAAAUGUUGCUCUAACAGCAGACCACUUCCUCUCAGCCCAGCACCCAGACCCUCUUGCUUUAUGCAGGGAUGGAGAGCAGAAAGCCUGAAGCUCUCAAAAGGAAGAGAGCAUCUCAAGGAACUGAAAACUGUCCAGGUGAAAGAGAAAAACUGUAUUCGGAUGGAGGUGGGAGAGGUAAGUUUGUCUUCAUGUGUAUGGUUGCUAAAACAGUGGGUUUUUUACAUAAAACAUUUCAAAAAUGUUCUUUUUGUGUAGCAAGUAGAAGUGAUUUGCUUCAUAAAAAGUUCUGACUUGUUGUAAAGAAGGCAUGCCCAAAGGUUUUUUGUCUGUUGAAGGAAACUGAUUUGUAAUAAACUGUCCCACCAAAGGGAGGAGAUUUAUAUUUCCUUGUAAUGGAGAAAUGUUUGAAC
ensembl:lncRNA